UAUAGACAUAUGUUCUCCUCUUGAAAGUGUUUGCUUACGAGUAGGAUCGGGAAAGGCUUUUUUUCUGUUAUGAAAGGAGAGCUUGGUAUGUAACGUUUACCACAGAUUACGUUAGCGUUGCUGUUGUUAGCCUAGCCGUUGUUAGCCUAGCCGUUUGCAUGAGAGGGGUGCUUAGAUUAAUGUUGUGAUGACCUUGUUCCACUGACACUAUUAUUCAAGUAAAGUAUUAAUGCAUUAGAUAGACCUAUGAUGAUGUAUUUUUUCAUUAAGGCUUUCCUCCUGUAUUACAUGUGUAAAGUGAACUUGUAUGACCAUUUCUGUUAUUAGUUUCUAAUCUAUUAUUUAUUUCUUAAUUUCUUUACUCUUACUAUCCAGCAUACAUUUGACUCAUGGAGAGGGUGCCACUGAACAGCCCUGAUAUUAAAACAAUUGAUGAGGGUGUCAAAAAUCGUUUUAAGUGGAGCUGGUUGGAGGAGACUGUCAAUAUUGAAAGACAGACCCUGCCACUGAAAUGUUUUAGCAAAAUUAGAGAACCUGGCAAGGCGAUUUGCAACACCUGCAAUCACCCAAUAAGUUAUGGAACAAGUGGGAAGACUGCACUAAGGAAACCUGUGGAACAACCGAAACAUCUAAAGGCCUGGAAGCUUCAACAACAGAAUAUGCGAAUUGAAAUUGCACCAGCAGACAAUGUCAUCAUUGCAGCUCCACAGAACAACUCGGUUCAAUCCAGAAUACCUUUCUUAUGCAGCCGAGUUGCACAGAAUCAAGAUUUCUGGCAGAGCACUCCCUGUCUCUGACAAUUGCACCACACCUCAUCAAUUUAGCACAGGUUCUGGCAAGAGAUCCUAAAGCUCUUGCAGAGUUGUCAAUGGAUAGAACAUCUGCGUCAUAAAAACUCAUGGGGUGAAAAAGUCUGUGUUGGAUGAUAUACUGGAAUAAAUAAGAACUGUGCCCUUCUCUCUUAACAUCAACGAGGCGACGAGCAAGACCUACAAAAGGAUACUGGGUGUCCUUGUCAGCUACUGGUCAGAGAAGGUGGAGCGAAUGGUCGUCCAGCACUUGGCUGCACUUCAGCUGGUUUCUGUGACUGCAGAGUCUCUCUUUAACAAAUUGGAUGAGCUCUUCAAACAGAUGUCUCUGCCCUGGAGUAAUCUAGUUUCCAUCCUAAUGGAUUCAUGUGCAGUCAUGAGGGGUUCCAAAAGUGGGCUGGAGAAAUUGUUUAGAGACAGGCGUGCGCCAUAGAUGGUGACUCUUGUCACCACAUACACAAUGCAAGUAAGAAGUUCUGUAGUCCGUUUCAGCACUGGGUCGAAGGUUUGAUGUCUGAUCUCCACACUGACCACAAAUGGUCUGUGGAAAUGAGGGACAGUCUCCGAGAAAUUGGAGACAUAAUUGGUGUACACCUCACGGCCAGAGUGUUAUGUGCCACACCGGUGGCUGUCAGUGUUGGAUGUCAGCCUGGACACAUUGCGUUUAUGGGAUGUGGUGGUUCUCUUUUAUUACACAUUUCUCAAUGGACAGGACAAAGAGAUAUAUAAGGAGACUGCAGAUGCUGUUGCACUUAGGAGGGGUGUGCAAGAUGAAGGCAGGGCUCGGAUUGAGGAAAUCUGGAAGGAGCUGGGAAGGAGGUCCAAGCAUUUCACAGAUGAAGGCAGGAUGAGGAAGGCAACAAUCUGUAAAAAGGUCUUCUUUGAGGAGAAGAGGACACUCCUUGAACUGAAUUUCUAUGCCUCUGUACUUCCAAUGCUUAAGAAAUACACACUAACAUGUCAGACAGUAGAGGCCAAAAUACACAAGCUACACGAUGAGCAAGAGCUGCUACUCAGGGAGUUCCUGAGUUGUUACAUGAAGCCUGAGUCUCUCCUCAGCGGACAGGGAAGGAACCUCUGGUCCAAAGUUGGUUCAACUCGAUCUCAAGUCAACAGAGGCCAACAAGAGCCCUUAUUGGCUCUGAGGCUACAAGAAUUCUUAAAUCCUUGAGAAGGGACCAUCCUGUUGUGCAUUCUUUCAAGUCAAAGGUUGUUCAAGCCUACACCACAUAUGGUGUCAAUCUUCAGGCAAAACUGCCUCUUGCCAGUCCAACCUUGAGAACACUGUCUUAUUUGGACCCAGAUGCACGGGGAAGCCAUCACAUCAUUCCUCAACUUCAGAAAUUGCCUGAUAUGUUUCCAGCUGUGAAACUCAGCGAACAGGAGAGAGCUGGUUUACAUCAAGAAGUAUACAGAUAUGCAAGUGACAUGAUGCUGCCUUUAAUGACCGGGGAAACCAGAAAUGACUCAUGGUGGAACAGUGUCAAGAAGACCCAGAGGUACCCAGCUCUCUGUAAGCUGGCUCUAUGUGCCCUUUGCCCAUUCCAUGGUCCUUUGGUUGAGUCCUCUUUCAGCAUGAUGACUAACAUCUUACAAGCCAAGAGCACCAACAUGAAUGUGGAAACCUAUGAGGCUUAUGAAGUCAUCAAGUACAACCUAAAGGCCAUGCAAGUGUCUGCUGUUGAGCUUUAUUCAAGACUCAAUAAAGAAAGCCCUGUCAACAUACCACUGGUCAGGAACAUCAAACUCUCAAGCCAGCGGUACAGGGCACAAAUAAGGAUGAGGGCAGAGGCUAGGAAGCGCUUGUAUCAUGCACCUUGCACCUCUGGAAAGAAACGAGCCAAAGAUGUCCUACUGGCAGCUGCUGCAAAGGCACGAAAGGACUUUCGGAAGAGACGCCUAGAAAGAAUGCAAAAACUGGCUCGUAAAUAGACUGCAAUCUCUCUUUCUCUCCCUCUCCAA